CUGCUACGGAGCAGCUGUGUGCCAAAUGUUAGUCUCCGUUAAGUAUGUGUCGUUCCUGGCUCAAAGCGGUGCCUUCUACACGAUCACUGCGCUGGCAAAGUUCGCCGUCCUCUACGGUAUCUACUGCUACUACCGGCGCUAUAAGGACAACGGCGACAGCCUCGACGAAUCCGAGGCCAUCAUCGCCGACGCCAAGUCGGAGCAGCAGCCGUCAUCGGCCUCCGUUCAGUCCUCGGACGGU
rnacentral:lncRNA from 1 species